rnacentral:rRNA from 1 species
UACGGAGGGGUUAGCGUUGUUCGGAAUUACUGGGCGUAAAGCGCGCGUAGGCGGAUUGGAAAGUUGGGGGUGAAAUCCCGGGGCUCAACCCCGGAACUGCCCUCCAAAACUUCCAGUCUGGAGUUCGAGAGAGGUGAGUGGAAUUCCGAGUGUAGAGGUGAAAUUCGUAGAUAUUCGGAGGAACACCAGUGGCGAAAGGCGGCUCACUGGCUCGAUACUGACGCUGAGGUGCGAAAGUGUGGGGAGCAAACGAGG